rfam:Daucus carota subsp. sativus cultivar DH1 chromosome 1, whole genome shotgun sequence.
AUUCCAUGAUGAGGACAUUUCCGUAGCAUCUCCUUGUAUCGCUCCCAAGAUUCACAGAAUGUCUCUCCCAUUUGCUGAGAGAAUUGCGAAAUAGCAUUCCUCAGUGC